GACGUAGGAUGCGAGCGUUGUUCGGAAGUUAUUGGGACGUAAAGCGUGCGUAGGCGGCUACUUAAGUCUGGUGUUAAAGCUAGGGGCUCAACCCCUGUGUUGCACUGGAAACUGGGUAGCUUGAGUGCGGUAGGGGAAGGUGGAAUUCCGAGUGUAGCGGUAGAAAUGCGUAGAUAUUCGGAAGAACACCGGUGGCGAAGGCGACCUUCUGGGCCGCCACUGACGCUGAGGCACGAAAGCGUGGGGAGCAAACGGG
rnacentral:rRNA from 1 species